AAGCGAAACUCCGCUACUGCCUCAGUAGCGGAGUCUGCCAGAUGCGGUGGUCUGGUACUGAUGAGCAGCCGGGA
rnacentral:hammerhead_ribozyme from 1 species